UCUGCUCAGCCUGGCUCUGCAGCAGAGAUUAGGGCCAGCCACUUUUGAAUGAACUGGUGAACCCUUCAGAGGAAGCCUCCAUGGACAGCUGAUAGGGGCAGUUCAGACUUGCCUGGACUGUGAAAACCGUAGGAACAAGGAAAGAGCUACUCCCAAAUGCCAGAUACUAGAAGUCCCAGUGACCUCAGCCAGUGUGGGCUUAAAGCUGGUUUUAUUCUGAUUUAGAAAAAUAAAGAAAUGUGGCAUUUUUUACAUUGUGGAUAUCAGAGAACAAUUUGUAUCUUCUACACUUUACGCUUUACGUUAAAUUGUCAUAAGAUCCCAGAGGAAGGAAUUUUCAUUCCAACUAGGGAAAUAGUUUUGUUUACAUGUGUUUUGCUUCUGGCCAGUUUGGCCAGAAAGAUUCGUGGAAGAAGUAGCAUUUGAGCUGAGUCCAGAAGCUGAGGAGAGAAAGAUCAAAUCCAAUCAAGGAAAAGAGCAUAGACCCAUGGUUCCCAAACUGUGUGCUCAGGCACCCUGGGGUGCCACAGCAAAUUAACAGGAGCAUUGUAAAAUAUUUUAGAUUCUGGAGAGAAACAAUAUCAUCUGUUGGACACUGUGAAAACUAGUAGCUGGAAAUAGUUAACAAUUUCAGCAUUAAACUUUACUACAUUCUUUUCUAUGACAUUGUAUCUUUGUAAAUGUGGGUUUUCAUCAAUUGAUGCGACAAGAAGCAAAUAACUCCUGUAAAUCAAGGUGGAACAGGAAAUGAGAGUUGAUGUCCGAUGUCCCAUGUGAUUGCAAGGUCUGAGAAGAUGCACAGAUACCAUUAAAAUAGCAGGGGAAUUAUAAGAAGUUAAAAUCCACAAGGACACAAAGAACGGAAAAAGGAGGGAAUGGGAGAUGAGCGACAAAAGUCUGGAAGAUGAACAGCACGUAAUUCAUGACUGCGGAGAAAAGAGGAAGUGGAAACAUGAAUCGUCAAAAAGAGACCAGCGGACUCAACCACAGGACCUUGGAACGGCUCAGGAUUCAUUGGUACCACGUCCUUCCAAAGAUGAGGAAACCAAGCCGUUCGUCCGAGCUCUCACAGCCAACAAGAGAAAGGAUCCAAACCAUGCCAUGUGGUGAGGAGGGACCGUAGAGUACAGUACUCUGUGGUUUGGACUUCAUUUCUCUCUCCACGAGACCCAUGGAAGGUUUUCAAAUAUGGGAGAGACAUUUAUUUAUUUAUCCAUUUAACAUUUAACAAAUAUGCAUCAGGUGCCUGUGGUGUGCUGGGCACCCUGUCAGGCGCUGAGCACUCCGGGGUGACAAAAUGCAAGGCCGAGUACUCUGCCAGGGCAGGAACGGGGAGCCAGGGAGGCCUGCAGAGGGGCACCCGGUCCAGCCAGGGAUUUGGAAAGGACUCCUGGGAAAGGCAAAGUUGAGACUUCAAGGCUGAGCUGGAGUUCAUGCGGGAAAGUGGGGGUGCCCAGUGACCCACCUGUGGCCACGUUGGCCCGGCCCACUUAGCAGCUGAGAGCAGGCUGG